CCCCAUAGCGGAUCACGAGACUGAGGCAAAAAACUUUUAAUGUUUAAGCCAAGUUUAUACGAAAGAAGCUUUACGUGCACUCUCAUAUUCACACAUGCACCUGUUCUGUCUGACUUAUGAAACGUGACCAUAUCCUGUUCAGACACAGACCUGUGGCAGUCAGCAACAAUACCAAGACCGAAAUGCUACGCUGGACACAAGAUUGCUGACAUCCUCCGUGUACAUAUUUACCUUUUUCAAGUCAUGGGUAGUGUUUGAUAUGGAAACUGUCAUCUCAGCUCAAAUAAAGGAUGUGAAAGUUAUUUUUGGAUCAAUCUUUGAACCUCAUUUGGGAAGACUGAAGUGGCUUUGACUGAGAGACUGUCAACAGUGUCAGGAACCCAAAACAUUUUCAUCUUCAUUCCCUCAUUACUUAGUUUUCAAAGACAUUAUAGAAUUUAAGUGAGAAAAACUGGGCAAAUAAUCAAAUGUGUGCAAAAACAUGCUUAUUAGAUUGUAGUUAUUAACGGUUUAUAAAAAUUGUAGAAAUAAUAAACCUUGAAAUGUUCCUUAUUUUUGCUUAUUUACAAAAAACUCAUAUAUUUUGUAUCUUUCUUUAGCAAUAAAACAUAUCAGUUACUGUAGCAGGAGAUUUAUAUGGAUAUAAACAUUAUAUUUGCCUUGA